GGGCUAUUAGCUCAGUUGGUAGAGCGCGCCCCUGAUAAUUGCGUACGGGCGAGGUCUCUGGUUCAAAUCCAGGAUAGCCC
rnacentral:tRNA from 1 species